rnacentral:rRNA from 1 species
UACGUAGGGGGCAAGCGUUGUCCGGAAUCAUUGGGCGCAAAGAGCGCGUAGGCGGCCCUGUAAGUCCGCUGUGAAAGUCAAGGGCUCAACCCUCGAAUGCCGGUGGAUACUGCAGGGCUAGAGUCCGGAAGAGGCGAGUGGAAUUCCUGGUGUAGCGGUGAAAUGCGCAGAUAUCAGGAGGAACACCGAUGGCGAAGGCAGCUCGCUGGGACGGUACUGACGCUGAGACGCGAAAGCGUGGGGAGCAAACAGG